AAUCUGUUUCAGGGCGAGGUGAGAUUCCUCACUGGUGGUGACAGGCCAAGACCUUAAGUCCACGAGCCAAAAGCGUGCGUAUGCGCGCUGAGGUUGAAUGGGUUAGAAUCCCAUACCAACGGUAUAGUCCGGAUGAAAGAAACGAUAG
rnacentral:ncRNA from 2 species